rnacentral:rRNA from 1 species
UUGCUUCCGCCGACGACCGGCGCACGGGUGCGUAACGCGUAUACAAUCUACCUUAUACUGGGGUAUAGCCUUUAGAAAUGAAGAUUAACCCCCCAUAGUCUCUUAGAGUGGCAUCACUUCUAGAGUAAAGGUUACGGUAUAAGAUGAGUAUGCGUUCUAUUAGUUUGUUGGUGUGGUAACGGCACACCAAGACUACGAUAGAUAGGGGCCCUGAGAGGGGGAUCCCCCACACUGGUACUGAGACACGGACCAGACUCCUACGGGAGGCAGCAGUGAGGAAUAUUGGACAAUGGAGGCAACUCUGAUCCAGCCAUGCCGCGUGCAGGAAGACUGCCCUAUGGGUUGUAAACUGCUUUUAUACAGGAAGAAACACCUCUACGUGUAGAGGCUUGACGGUACUGUAAGAAUAAGGAUCGGCUAACUCCGUGCCAGCAGCCGCGGUAAUACGGAGGAUCCAAGCGUUAUCCGGAAUCAUUGGGUUUAAAGGGUCCGUA